UACGAGGGGGGCGAGCGUUGUUCGGAAUUAUUGGGCGUAAAGGGUGCGUAGGCGGUUUGGUAAGUCUGAUGUGAAAUCUAUGGGCUCAACUCAUAGUCUGCAUGAGAAACUGCCGGGCUUGAGUAUGGGAGAGGUGAGUGGAAUUCCUGGUGUAGCGGUGAAAUGCGUAGAUAUCAGGAGGAACACCUGUGGCGAAAGCGGCUCACUGGACCAUAACUGACGCUGAUGCACGAAAGCUAGGGGAGCAAACAGG
rnacentral:rRNA from 1 species